UCAAAGUCGCGGCGCGACUCGUCAGUGUUACCCGGCGAAAUCAAAGUCUAAACAAAUCGAUAUUUGCAAGUGGCAACACUGAAUCGGAAACCAGGGAUGCGCUAAAUCAUUCGUUCUUUGGUGGUAAAAAGUCUGGUUUUUUGUCGAUGGUUAAGUUUUUCCUGUCAAAGUCAAGGAACUUCCAAAUUUUGUCAACAUUUAAUUACGGGAAAAAUAUGAAAAAAAUAAUAAGUUCAGCAUUAUCCUAGACACGAUUGAUAUCCCAGCACCCAAAGGAAAAUAUUGUUAACAGGAACGUGCCAACGGGACCCGAAGUGGAGAGUCAGGAAAAGAAACACACUAGGCAAGCUUGGUGAUAUUUAAUUAUCCUACGCCGCAUGUCGAAGAAAAAGGAAGAGAGACAAUACUUUUCAAGGGUAAUAAAGAAGAUUCUUACAAUUUCUCUAUUGUGGUUCUAGAUGUUAAUAUAUAUUAGGUUUAAUAAUAAGUCGAAUAUUGCAAGAAUAUAUAAGGCAAAGCAAUAUAUUAUUAAUUUAAAUAUUGUUUUUUUUUCUCUCCUGUAUUUUUACCUGAAAAGAAACAAAAAUAAAGUAGGUAGGUACCUAGAACUCCUAGAAGCCAUGAUUAGCUCCCCAAGGCCCACUUUAUACCUAAU